GCAAUUAGUGAUAAUGAUGUGAAUAAUGGGCCGAGGUUUAAGGAUUUAGGAGGAAUGGAUGCUGUAUUAGAGGAAUUAAAAAUGGAGGUAAUUGUUCCAUUGUACCAUCCACAAUUAACUAAGCAUCUAGGAGUUAAACCAAUGUCAGGAAUACUCUUUCAUGGCCCACCUGGUUGUGGAAAAACAAAGCUGGCCCAUGCAAUUGCAAACGAGACUGGUGUUCCAUUUUACAAAAUUUCUGCUACUGAAUUGGUCUCUGGAAUUUCAGGUGCAUCAGAAGAAAACAUAAGGGAAAUGUUCUCGAAAGCAUACAGGACAGCACCUUCUAUUGUGUUUAUUGAUGAAAUUGAUUCAAUUGCUUCUAAACGAGAGAAUUUACAGAGAGAAAUGGAACGGCGCAUUGUAACGCAGCUGAUGACAUGCAUGGAUGAAUCGCAUAGGCUUGUAAAACCUGAUGAUGAAAAAGAUGGUGAUGGAUUUAAUGGCGGUAAUGCUGGUUAUGUGCUGGUAAUUGGAGCCACGAAUAGACCUGAUGCUAUUGACCCGGCACUAAGGAGGCCUG
rnacentral:lncRNA from 1 species